GAUGAACGCUGGCGGCGUGCCUAACACAUGCAAGUCGAACGAUGAAACCGCCCCCGGGCGGACAUGAAGUGGCGAACGGGUGAGUAACACGUGACCGACCUGCCCCCCGCCCAGGGACAGCCCCCCGAAAGGGGGAUUAAUACCUGGUACUCCGGAAGCGGCGCAUGCCGCCCCCGGGAAAGCUUUUCGCGGCGGGGGAUGGGGUCGCGGCCCAUCAGGUAGACGGCGGGGCAGAGGCCCACCGUGCCGACGACGGGUAGCCGGGUUGAGAGACCGGCCGGCCACAUUGGGACUGAGAUACGGCCCAGACUCCUACGGGAGGCAGCAGUGGGGAAUUGUGCGCAAUGGGGGCAACCCUGACGCAGCAACGCCGCGUGCGGGACGAAGGCGUCCGCGUCGUAAACCGCUUUCAGCGGGGAACACUUUUCGAGGGUACCCGCAGAAGAAGCCCCGGCUAAAUACGUGCCAGCCGCCGCCGUAA
rnacentral:rRNA from 1 species